rnacentral:rRNA from 1 species
UAACAAGGAUUCCCCUAGUAACUGCGAGUGAAGCGGGAAAAGCUCAAAUUUAAAAUCUGGCGGUCUUUGGCCGUCCGAGUUGUAGUCUGGAGAAGUGCUUUCCGCGCUGGACCGUGUAUAAGUCUCUUGGAACAGAGCGUCAUAGAGGGUGAGAAUCCCGUCUUUGACACGGACUACCAGUGCUUUGUGAUGCGCUCUCGAAGAGUCGAGUUGUUUGGGAAUGCAGCUCAAAAUGGGUGGUAAAUUCCAUCUAAAGCUAAAUAUUGGCGAGAGACCGAUAGCGAACAAGUACCGUGAGGGAAAGAUGAAAAGCACUUUGGAAAGAGAGUUAAACAGUACGUGAAAUUGCUGAAAGGGAAACGCUUGAAGUCAGUCGCGUCUGCCGGAACUCAGCCUUGCUUUCGCUUGGUGCAUUUUCCGGUAGACGGGCCAGCAUCGAUUUUGACCGUCGGAUAAGGGCCAGGGAAAUGUGGCACCCUCGGGUGUGUUAUAGUCUCUGGUCGCAUACGACGGUUGGGAUCGAGGAACGCAGCGCGCCGCAAGGCAGGGGUUCGCCCACUUUCGCGCUUAGGAUGCUGGCGUAAUGGCUUUAAACGAC